rnacentral:misc_RNA from 1 species
GAUGAAGAACGUAGCGAAAUGCGAUAAGCAAUGUGAAUUGCAGAAUUCAGUGAAUCAUCGAAUCUUUGAACGCACAUUGCGCCCGCCAGUAUUCUGGCGGGCAUGCCUGUCUGAGCGUCAUUUCAACCCUCAUGCCCCUAGGGCGUGGUGUUGGGGAUCGGCCAAAGCCCGCGAGGGACGGCCGGCCCCUAAAUCUAGUGGCGGACCCGUCGUGGCCUCCUCUGCGAAGUAGUGAUAUUCCGCAUCGGAGAGCGAUGAGCCCCUGCCGUUAAACCCCCAACUUUCCAAGGUUGACCUCAGAUCAGGUAGGAAUACCCGCUGAACUUAAGCAUAUCAAUAAGCGGAGGA